rnacentral:miRNA from 1 species
UGUUUGUAUAGUGUAUGGAUAUAAUGCAGUGUGUUUGUGUAGUGUGUUUAUAUAAUGCACACUACACAAACACACUGCAUUAUAUACACACACUAUGCAAAC